rnacentral:rRNA from 1 species
GACGAACGCUGGCGGCGUGCUUAACACAUGCAAGUCGAACGGAAAGGCCCUGCUUUUGUGGGGUGCUCGAGUGGCGAACGGGUGAGUAACACGUGAGUAACCUGCCCUUGACUUUGGGAUAACUUCAGGAAACUGGGGCUAAUACCUGAUAGGAGCUCCUGCUGCAUGGUGGGGGGUGGAAAGUUUCGGCGGUUGGGGAUGGACUCGCGGCUUAUCAGCUUGUUGGUGGGGUAGUGGCUUACCAAGGCUUUGACGGGUAGCCGGCCUGAGAGGGUGACCGGCCACAUUGGGACUGAGAUACGGCCCAGACUCCUACGGGAGGCAGCAGUGGGGAAUAUUGCACAAUGGGCGGAAGCCUGAUGCAGCAACGCCGCGUGCGGGAUGACGGCCUUCGGGUUGUAAACCGCUUUCGCCUGUGACGAAGCGUGAGUGACGGUAAUGGGUAAAGAAGCACCGGCUAACUACGUG